ensembl:lncRNA
CCAGCAGUAUGUAAAGUCAAAUUAUAAAAUACUAAUAAAUAACAAUUGCACAACAGAAUCUCAGUGCAAUGAACAUACUUAUGUGUUCAUUACCGACACACUUAGUUUUGACAAAGCACACUGCUUAGGUAAAUGAUCUCAGUAGUUGUUUAUCACUGAGCAAUUUAUGUGUUUCGAGCCAAAUAAAUGACAGUGAGAGAGAGAGAGAGAGAGAGAGAGAGUCAAUCGUUGGGUUGCGCAUGCGCAGACAGAUUGUGCGACCGGCGGGCCUUGAACUUUUUUAGGGAAAAAACACUUUCUCACGGCCGGUGACAGCGAAACGGAUAACAGUCUUCAGUACCUGCUGGUCUUUGAAGCUCUGGAUUCUGGGACUGUUGGAAAAGCUCCAACAAAAUGAGGACGAGGAGGGGGAGAAAAACAAUUAGACUGAAUUACAAUUGGCUGGAAGUCGAGGACAAGGAGAAGGAAGCUUAGGAUGAGGAGGAAGAAAAGCAGCAGGAGCAUCUUUGGGGAUCUCUAUGAUGUCAUUGAGAGGCGGCGGCGAGAGGGGAGACCUCGGCUCAUCCAGCUGGACAGCCUGACCAGGAGGAGUCUACAUUAACUUUGCUCUUCCAGGGCACCCUGCAGACUCGGCUGCUGGCAACACUGGGAUGACGUGAACGCCAAACAGGAGUCCAUCACAGGUCGACUGCAGCUCCUUGUGUCAGAGUGGGAGGGAUUUGAAGCACAAAGGGAGGAGCUUGUCGUUUGGUUGGCUGAUAUGGAUGUCCACCUGAGUGAGGUUGACCAGCUGACAGGAAACACCUGUGAAAAACUGAAACAACUGCAGGUGUGGGGUUGUUUUGAUAUGACAUAUAUUUGAUAUGAUACAUACGUCAGAGACAUUAUCCUAAACUGGACUAACAAAGAACCAUGAGUCCAACUAGGGCUGCUCAAUUAAUCGAAUUUUAAUCUAGAUUACGAUCUGGGCUUUCAACGAUCAUUAAAAAUGACUGAGCCGAUUAUUAGCACCUCCCUCGUGCUUUACUCUCCCGCUGCUCCGUUUGGCAAAUCGAGCGCACCUCUCUGCGAUUCGAACACACGUCAUAACAAUUAAGAGGACCGAAGGAAGCUAAGCAGAAGUUAUUUGGAGAGGAGAGGAUCGUGGCUGCUGAAGAAAGAAUGCCGCUGGUUGAAAAGAGAGAUAAAACAACUUCAGUGGUGUGGAAACAUUAUGGGUUCGGGGAGUCAGACGUGGAUUAAGUAGACAUAGUGUGUAAACUUUGCUACGGUGUGGUAGCUGCACCACAGAGCAACACUACAAAUUUAUUCAAACAUUUGAAGACCGCUCACAAAGUGACAUACGAUCAAACAAUGAAGGAGCAGCAACUUUAGCUGACAUACCUCAAUGUCAAUUUGAUGCAAUUGUGCAUUGUGUGGCUACACAGCUUGCCUUGAUGUUUGGUUAUUUGUAUGCAUAAAUAUUAUGCAGUAUUUUGAAGUUCACUAAACAUUAAUGUUUACAUUUUUCAUUUAUUUUUUAUAUUGCAAACAUUUGCACUGUUAUCGGUAUUUGCACACUAUUUUAUAUUAUUUUUUGACAAUCUUUAAAGCCAUUAUUCAAUACAAUGUUAAUGUUAAAUAAAUAUCGUCAAAUAAUCGAGAUCUCAAUUUCAGUGAAAACAAUCAUGAUUAUCAUUUUUGCCAUAAUCGAGCAGCCCUAAGUCCAACAUUAAACUGACCUUACAUAAUGUAAGGCUGAAGUUCAUUGUUAAUUUUAUUCAAAAACUUGUUGUUGAAAUAUUUUUACUGAACAUGCAAACAUCUGCUGAUGAAAAUGUCUUGAUUUAUUGGUCUGUUA